AGGGUUCGAUCAUGGCUCAGAUUGAACGCUGGCGGCAUGCCUAACACAUGCAAGUCGAACGGUAACAGAUAAGAUGAUCUCUUCGGAGUGAAUCUUUGCUGACGAGUGGCGGACGGGUGAGUAAUGCUUGGGAAUCUGCCCAAUAGUGGGGGAAAACUCGGGGAAACCCGGGCUAAUACCGCAUAAUCUCUACGGAGGAAAGAGGGCCUCUACUUGUAAGCUCUCGCUAAUGGAUGAGCCCAAGUCAGAUUAGCUUGUUGGUAAGGUAAUGGCUUACCAAGGCUACGAUCUGUAGCUGGUCUGAGAGGAUGAUCAGCCACACUGGGACUGAGACACGGCCCAGACUCCUACGGGAGGCAGCAGUGGGGAAUAUUGCACAAUGGGCGCAAGCCUGAUGCAGCAAUGCCGCGUGUGUGAAGAAGGCUCUAGGGUUGUAAAGCACUUUCAAUAGAGAAGAAAAGCUUGAAGUUAAUAUCUUCAAGCCUUGACGUAACCUAUACAAGAAGCACCGGCUAAUUCCGUGCCAGCCGCCGCGGUAAUAC
rnacentral:rRNA from 1 species